rnacentral:lncRNA from 1 species
AGGCCCAAAAGGCAGCCUGAGUUUCCAUCAUUGGCAGCAGGGAUAGGAGGUGUGUCUGGGUGCUCUGGAGACUCUUCUGCUGCACCUCUUCCCUGCCACCAACCGUCCUUCCUCCUGCUACCAGAGCCGUGGCUCAGCUCUGCUUCAGGAGAUGGGACUUGUGCUCUGGGCAUCUGAGGACCUGCCAAGUGAGCAACUGUGAUAGUAGACUGGAUAAUGGCCACCUGAAAAUGUUCCCACCCUAAUCCUUGAAACCUGUGAAUCGGGCACCGGUUGAGCGGCUGAGCGUCUGCCUUGGGAUCAGGGCAUGACCCAGGGGUCCUGGGAUUGAGUCCCACAUCGGGCUCCCUGCAUGGAGCCUGCUUCUCCCUCUGCCUGUGUCUCUGCCUCUCUCUUUGUGUCUCUCAUGAAUAAAUGAAUAAAAUCUAAAAAAACCUGCGAAUAUAUUACUUUACAUGGCAAAAGGGACUUUGCAGAUGUGAUUGCAAUGGGGAGAGUGUACUAGAUUAUCCAGGUGAGUUCAAUGUAAUCACAAGGGACCUCAUAAGAGAGAGGCAAGAAAGAGAGAGGGAGGAGUAGAGAGAGGAAGGAGAGGCUGGAGGAUAUGCUUUGUAGAUGGAAGAAGUGGCCGCCGGCUGCCGUAAGGCCUCUGGAAGCUGGAAAGGCAAGGAAAUGGAUUCUCCCUUAGAGCUUCCAAAAGGAACAAAGCUCUGCUAACACAUUGAUUUUAGCCCCUAAGAACCAUUUUCAUUUUCUGACUUCCAGAACCAUAAGAUAAAUUUGUGCCAUUUUAAGAUUGCAGUAAUGUGUUACAGUGGCACUAAGAAACCAGUAAAGCAAGGUUUGGAGGUACUUACUUCACAACAGCUGGAUUAAAAGCCUUACAUCAUUAACACUCCGCUUUGCCUAAGAGGGCAAAGUAUGUCAAGUGUUUUAGAUUGUAGAAGAUCUGCAGUUGGGGGAAGAGUCUGAAAUAGGAGGAUGGGAGGAAGUGGGAGAGAGGAUGCUUCUGAUGCGGGAGCAUCAGAAACAAAA